UUUUUUUUUGUUUUUUAGGGCUGCACCCACAGCAUAGGAAUAUGGAAGUUCCCAGGGUAAGGGUCAAAUUGGAGCAACAGCUGCUGGCCUACACCACAGCCACAGGAACACUGGAUCUGAGACACCUCUGCAACCUACAGCACAGCUCAUGGCAACGCUGGAUCCUUAACCCACUGAGCAAGGUUCACAACUAAAGUCUGUGUACACUAUCUGCAUUGACUAGUAAGUCAACAAUUCCUUAAACACAAGUGGAUGUUUGCCUUUGAGUUCUGAUGAUCUAAGUUGUAUUUGUAUCUAUGUGACCAUGGUAAGACUGUUGCAGAAAGUGUUAUAUAAUUUUAUUUAAAUAACAUCACCAAAAUAUCUUAAAUAUAUUCAUAUAUCAUGAGUUUUCCUCUUAAGAAUUUGAGAUUUUUCCAUCCUGUUUUUUAUUGUACCAAGAAACAGCUUCAUGGUAUUUUCAAUAAUAGGGUUAAAAGCAGACAUAGUAAUGACUGUAAAACUCACAUAGAAGCUCCAUGACUACGGUCUUAUUUAAAAACCACUCAAACAUUUUGAUAUAUCCAUCACACUAUAUCCAUUUUACAAAUUAGGAUUCUUAAUGUCAGAGAAGAAAAAUAAUUUUCCCAAGUUUCCUCAACCAGUGAAAGACAAAUCUGGGAUCUGAACCCAAAUCUUCUCUCUCUAGCCAUCAUCUCUUUCUCUACAAGUCUGAUAAACUCUGCACCCACCACACUGUCUAUAUUGUACAAAUAGAUUCAAUAAAUAUUUCUUGAAUAAAUGAAUGCAUGACUUAAAUGACUACCUAUAUCAAUUACUUUGCAUAUUUUUUGCAUAUUUCAAUGUCUCAUGUGUCAAAACAAGACAACCAUCCUGAGGUAGGGAUUUUUUAAGACAAAGUAAGGACAGAAUUUUAAGCCUUUCUGAUUGUUCAGUCCUUGAGCAGUGGCUAGACCCCAGGAAUCAUAGAUAUAAUGGGGCUACAUCAGAGAAUAAAUGUGGUCAAUUCCAGCUUGACAAUUUUCUUCAAUGUGGCCCAUUUGUGGUUUGAGGAAUGGGCUCAAAUAAUUCAACUUGAAGGUUAAUUUCCAGACACCAGCAGAAAGUCACUGAAUUGAUCCUAAUGGGUUCUUAGUAGUCUGAUUCCUGUUUAAAUUCUGAUUUUUCUUUAAUAGGUAAAGACAAGGCACUUUGCGGUACCUAUUUAGAAUAUGCAUUCCUUCUAGAGUUUACUUGCAAUAAUUUCAAAAUCAACCAUGUAAGUCAUAAAACACAAUGAUCUCUAGAGUUCUUGGCUUCCUUGACAUGUGUGUUCUCUCUGACAUUUCUUACACAUGAAUAGUAUCCAAUUUUGUCCAUAUAUAAAAUGUUUAUGUAUUUUAUUCCCCUGUGCAUUUAAUGCAUUCUCAGCCAAAGGUUUAUAUUUUGUUUUCCUAUUACAGUUUCAGCAAUUUAUUUAUAGUUAAUGAGUAUAACAGUGAGAGCUCAUAAACCAAGCUAAGGGGGUAAACAAACAAAUGCUUUGAAACCGUACUUUGUGGUUCCAAGUUUUGGAAAAGUCAUGUUUUAUUACAUCCAUGCUGAUAUUCAUGAGACUUCCGUAUCAUGAAUCCAAAAGACAGCUAAGCCUAUCAACUCUGAAAUAUUCAAAUUGCAGAGUAAGGAAGGAGAAGGCUUCUAUUACAUUUAUUUUUUCUUGUGGAAAAAAUGAAUAAAUGGAUGUAUCAGAUGUAAACAUGAAUUUUUUUUAUGGUUCUGACUAAAGGAAGUAAUAAAACACCCAUCAUUUUGUGUAAUAGCCUUUCCUCUGACUCUGCCAUGAGCUCUUUACCUUCACAAUAUUUUCUCUAUUUGCGAGAGCUGCACAUCUGACUAAGUAAUUCUCUCAAAAUGAAUGCCAGUGACCACAUCUACUAAAUACUUUGGGAAUCUCAAAACUGGAGGUAAUUUUUCCAUGUGAAUAUAGAAACAUAUGUUAUCUUCUGUGCUUUUAACAAGCCACUUUGUUUAGGUACAAAAGUGGGAAAAUCAAAUAGAAAUAGUAAGGAAAAUAUAAAACUAAAAUCAAGUGCAUAAGCCCUUUAAUUUCCUUGCAAACAAUUGUGACGGACAUUUUCUGUCAAUGGUUUUGUUCUGCCCUAGUUAACACAAACAGACUUUACAGGGCUUUACAAUCUAUACUGCAACUUACUUUUUUUACUGACCAGGAUUUAUAUUUCCUCUGUUUCUAUUGGUGCACCUACUACCACUCCAUGUUUCUGGAUAACUGCAUGGUAUUCCUCUUGAUAUAUAUCUCAGAGUACCUGUUGUGGCUCACUGGUAACGAACCCGACUAGUAACCAUGGGGAUGCGGGUUCGACCCUUGGCUUUGCUCAGUGGGUUAAGGAUCUGGCCUUGCUGUGAGCUGUGCUGUAAGUCACAGAUGUGGCUUGGAUCCCUCAAUGUUGUGGCUGUGGCAUAGGCUGGCAGCUACAGCUCCAAUUUGAUCCCUACCCCAGGAAUUUCCAUAUGCCAUAGGUGCAGCCCUAAAAGUUAAUUAAUUAAUUAAAAGUUUAAUUUCAUUAGACUUCAGGUGCUAUCCAGUUUUUUUAGUAUAAUGAACAAAGAUAUCUUUCUUUGGGGGAACUUUUAAAACAUUCGCUUAAACCCAAGUUUAAGAAUAAAAAGAAGCACUCAGUGUAACGUGCUAUUUUCUUCCUUUGAAGCUACAGGAAAGUAAGUAUCGUGUAUCUAAACGACACUCUUCAUUACGUCUCUUGAUGAAAGGGCCUAGUGAAACAAGAGCUAUAAGAUAUAGAUGCUGAAAUAUUUCCUAGGCCUGAGCUAGCUGUACCUACCAGGACCUGCUAGGGCAGUAACUGCAAAUGGUGCAGUUUAGUCCAAGGUGGGUCCAGCUUUGGUAUUAACAAGAACGUUUACCUAGACAACUUAUAAGAACCAAUCACUCUUUUCCCAG
rnacentral:lncRNA from 1 species